UGAACGCUAGCGGCAGGCUUAACACAUGCAAGUCGAGGGGCAGCAUAAACAUUGCUUGCAAUGUUUGAUGGCGACCGGCGCACGGGUGCGUAACGCGUAUGUAACCUACCUCAAACAGGGGCAUAACACUGAGAAAUUGGUACUAAUUCCCCAUAAUACUUUUAAGAGGCAUCUUUUGAAGUUGAAAGUUCCGGCGGUUUUGAGAUGGACAUGCGCUGUAUUAGCUAGUUGGUGAGGUAACGGCUCACCAAGGCGACGAUACAUAGGGGGACUGAGAGGUUAACCCCCCACAUUGGUACUGAGACACGGACCAAACUCCUACGGGAGGCAGCAGUGAGGAAUAUUGGUCAAUGGACGCAAGUCUGAACCAGCCAUGCCGCGUGCAGGAUGACGGCUCUACGAGUUGUAAACUGCUUUUGUAUGAGGGUAAUACCAGGUACGUGUACCUGUUUGAAAGUAUCAUACGAAUAAGGAUCGGCUAACUCCGUG
rnacentral:rRNA from 1 species